AACGAACGCUGGCGGCAUGCCUAACACAUGCAAGUCGAACGAGACCUUCGGGUCUAGUGGCGCACGGGUGCGUAACGCGUGGGAACCUGCCCUUAGGUUCGGAAUAACUCCCCGAAAGGGGUGCUAAUACCGGAUAAUGUCUUCGGACCAAAGAUUUAUCGCCUUUGGUUGGGCCCGCGUUGGAUUCGCUAGUUGGUAGGGUAAAAGCAUACCAAGGCGACGAUCCAUAGCUGGUCUGAGAGGAUGAUCAGCCACACUGGGACUGAGACACGGCCCAGACUCCUACGGGAGGCAGCAGUGGGGAAUAUUGGAAAAUGGGCGAAAGCCUGAUCCAGCAAUGCCGCGUGAGUGAUGAAGGCCGUAGGGUUGUAAAGCUCUUUUACCCGGGAUGAUAAUGACAGUACCGGGAGAAUAAGCUCCGGCUAACUCCGUG
rnacentral:rRNA from 1 species